rnacentral:rRNA from 1 species
ACAAUCAAAACAAAACUUUCAACAACGGAUCUCUUGGUUCUGGCAUCGAUGAAGAACGCAGCGAAAUGCGAUAAGUAAUGCGAAUUGCAGAAUCCGUGAGUCAUCGAAUCUUUGAACGCACAUUGCGCCCUUUGGUAUUCCGAAGGGCAUGCCUGUUC